UACGUAGGGUGCAAGCGUUGUCCGGAAUUAUGGCGUAAAGAGCUCGUAGGCGGUUUGUCGCGUUGUCCGUGAAAACUCACAGCUUAACUGUGGGCGUGCGGGCGAUACGGGCAGACUGGAGUACUGCAGGGGAGACUGGAAUUCCUGGUGUAGCGGUGGAAUGCGCAGAUAUCAGGAGGAACACCGGUGGCGAAGGCGGGUCUCUGGGCAGUAACUGACGCUGAGGAGCGAAAGCGUGGGGAGCGAACAGG
rnacentral:rRNA from 1 species